UUAAAUUAUAUUUAUUAAUUUAAUUUAUUUAAAGUUUUUUUAUUAAAAAUAAUUAUAAAUUUUAUAGUUUUAGUAUUGUUUAAAGAAAAAAUAAAUUUAAUUAUAGUGUAUUAGUAUUGUAAAAGAAAAUUGAAAUAAUUUGAAAAAUUAUUAUUUGAAAAGAAAAUUUAAUUUAUUGUACCUUGUGUAUCAGUGUUUAUUAAAUAAAAAAUAUUUAUAAAUAUUUUUCUCGAUUUUAAAAGAGUUAAUAUAAUAUGAAAGUUAAUGUAAUAAAAUUAUUUUAAAUAUUAUAUUAGAAAUGAAAUGUUAUUCGUUUUUAAAGGUAUCUAGUUUUUCAAGAAAUAAAUUUAAUUUAGAAAUUAUAAAUUUAUUUUAAAAAUUAUUUAAUAAAAUAAUUUAUAAUUUUAAUAUUUUAUGGGAUAAGCUAUAAAAUAAAUUUUUAAAAAUAAUAAAUAAAUUUAAUAAAUAUAUGUUUAGAAUUAGCAAUUAUUAAUAAAUAUGUUAUAAUUUAUUUUAUAAAAACAAUUAUUUAUUAUAUUUUAAAUUUUUAUUGAAAUAUUAAUUUUAAUUUGUAAAAUUAAUUAAUAAUGAUAAAAUUAGUAUAUUGUAUUGUAAAAUAAAUAAAAAUGAUAAGUUAAAAUAAAG
rnacentral:rRNA from 1 species